rnacentral:lncRNA from 1 species
CUUAAUAAAAUCCUAAUUAAAAUCCUAAUUAAAUUUUAAUAAAAUCUUAGAUUAAAUCUUUAUGAAAUCUUAAUAAAAUCUUCAAUCCUAGAUAAUUCCUAAAAAAAAUUUAGAUGAAUUCUAAUCAAAUCUUAAUAAAUUUUUAAUCCAAAUACUAAUUAGAUUCUAUUCAAGUUUUAAACCAAAUCCUAAUCCUAACCAAAUUCUUAAUAAAUCCUAAUAUUAAUCAAAUCUCAAACAAAUUCUAAUCAAAUCCUAGAUUUUAAACAAAAUUUUAACAAUUCAUAUAGCAAAAUAGAAUCUCAACAACUA